AAAUAAGGUGAGAAUCCUUAUGGCCGAAUAUCCAAGGUUUCCAGAGUAAAGCUGAUCUGCUCUGGGUAAGUCGGGGCCUAAGGCGAGGACGAGAGUCGUAGCCGAUGGACAACAGGUGGAGAUUCCUGUACUGCGGUAUGACAGAACUGUGGGGACACGUAAGGAAAGCGGAAGCCGGGAAUGGAAAGCCCGGUGCAAGCGGGGUACCAGUCACUCUGGCAAAUCCGGGUGGCAAUGGGAAGCCGUGAUGCGGAGCGAAAUAAAGUAGCGAAGUCCGUGAGCCAUGCGUCAAGAAAAGCCGCUAUCGUUUAUACCGUACCCGUACCGUAAACCGACACAGGUGGAUGAGGAGAGAAUCCUAAGGCCGGCGGAAGAAGCAUUGUCAAGGAACUCGGCAAAAUGGCCCCGUAACUUAGGGAUAAGGGGUGCCUGGGAAACCAGGCCGCAGAGAAUAGGCUCAAGCAACUGUUUAGCAAAAACACAGGUCUAUGCGAAACCGAAAGGUGAGGUAUAUGGGCUGACGCCUGCCCGGUGCUGGAAGGUUAAGAGGAGAGGUUAGCGCAAGCGAAGCCUUGAAUUUAAGCCCCAGUAAACGGCGGCCGUAACUAUAACGGUCCUAAGGUAGCGAAAUUCCUUGUCGGGUAAGUUCCGACCCGCACGAAAGGCGUAAUGAUUUGAGCGCUGUCUCGACAAUGCAUCCGGUGAAAUUGAAGUACCAGUGAAGAUGCUGGUUACCUGCGCCAGGACGGAAAGACCCCAUGGAGCUUUACUCCAGUUUGGUACUGGGACUCGGUAUUGCAUGUACAGGAUAGGUGGGAGGCUAGGAGAUAGUAACGCCAGUUAUUAUGGAGCCGCUGUUGGGAUACCACCCUUGCAGUAUUGGGUUUCUAACCAGCCGCCGUGACCCGGCGGUGGGACAAUGCCAGACGGGGAGUUUGACUGGGGCGGUCGCCUCCGAAAGGGUAUCGGAGGCGCCCAAAGGUUCCCUCAGAAUGGACGGAAACCAUUCGAAGAGUGCAAAGGCAGAAGGGAGCUUGACUGCGACACCGACGGGUGGAGCAGGUACGAAAGUAGGGCUUAGUGAUCCGGUGGUAUUAAGUGGGAAUGCCAUCGCUCAACGGAUAAAAGCUACCCUGGGAUAACAGGCUUAUCACUCCCAAGAGUUCACAUCGACGGAGUGGUUUGGCACCUCGAUGUCGGCUCAUCGCAUCCUGGGGCUGUAGUAGGUCCCAAGGGUUGGGCUGUUCGCCCAUUAAAGCGGUACGCGAGCUGGGUUCAGAACGUCGUGAGACAGUUCGGUCCCUAUCCGGCGUGGGCGUAGGAUAUCUGAGAGGAGCUGUCCUUAGUACGAGAGGACCGGGAUGGACGGGCCGCUGGUGCAUCGGUUAGACUGCCAAGUCUACGGCCGAGUAGCCAAGCCCGGAAGGGAUAAACGCUGAAGGCAUCUAAGCGUGAAGCCCCCCUUAAGAUGAGAUAUCCCAUUCGAAAGAAGUAAACCCCCUUGAAGACGACGAGGUAGAUAGGGCAGAGGUGGAAGUGUGGCAACACAUGGAGCUGACUGUUACUAAUCGGGUGAGGGCUUGACC
rnacentral:rRNA from 1 species